rnacentral:sRNA from 1 species
GAUUGUCUAUCUAAUUAUCAAUAAAUAACAGUUGUAUUUAAGGGAUGCCAGGUACAGCGAUACCAAAACAUACAUUAGUAGUUAUAGAGCGUGUCAGAAUACUUGCAUUCUUAGAUAAUGAGGUGAUUGCAAAAGUCCAAAAAUAAAGAGUUCAUUAAAUUUUGGUUUAUGCAAUCAAUGUAACCAUUAAAAAAAUGAUGAUAAUGAUAGUUUUUCAACAAGCUAGGUAAAUGGUUAGAAUGCUAAGUUAAGACCAAAAACCCAGGAUAUGAAAUUGUUGAUGUGCUCUGAUUGAACCUGUACAGAAACACACACAGGCUAUGAUCUGGCAGUAGUACCCUGACAUUGCUAACAGUGGUUGUAUUAGACUGGCUGAGUUAGAAGCAAUUGUUUUUUUUUUCCCCUCCUAUUUUCUUAAAUAUAUUUAAUUUGAUUUUAAUGACCAACAUUUUUUCAAAUUAAAUAAAAGAAUCUGGACUCAGAUUAUUAAUCAUAUCUGAAUUGCCUUCCCUCCCAGGCACCAAAAUGUAACUUAAAGUUCUGAGAAACACUGAGUGAAUGAAGAAAUGUGCUCUCGAUCCUAACAACCUGAUCUUGAACCAAACGAUUAUCUGGAUAGAACAUUGUUAAACAAAAUACUAUAUUGAUCUUAUUAAAUAUAAUACACUGUUUUGUGACUGGAGAAAACAUCAACUGCCUUUUUUUUUCCAGAUUUUUUUUUUAAGAAAGCAUUUUGUAACCCUAGGCAGGCAGUGAUAAUCAGUUUGUUUUUCCUUUGAUAGCUCCUCCUGCUGGACUAGCUUGCUUCCAGUUACUGGAAGUGAAGGGAAAGGAAAGGAGAAGAGGGACACUGCCUUUAAUACAGGGAUUGUUGUGAAGUGAAUGCCAAGAUAUCAUUUCCCCUAAUGCUCUUACAAAACUCUCAGAAAGAGCAAUUUAGAAGAUUUUUAGGAAACUGUUUGUGAUGCCAUUUGCAAGAUUGAGGGAGGUUGUUUUUGCUUCACAUUCCUAAACAAACUAAGGUAUUUCCUUUGCAAAAAGUAAUUACAGGAUCUUAACUCUUGCCUCAGUUUGUCUAAUUUUGCUCCUGUCUCCAACUCCCCAGGGUGCCGUGUUAACUCCCUCAAUGGAGCACACCAUGUCACUACAGCCCGCAUCGAUGAUCAGCCCUCUGGCCCAGCAGAUGAGUCAUCUGUCACUAGGCAGCACCGGAACAGUAGGUGGCAAAUAAUUAUCAUGUGUCUCUGUAAACAGAGGAGGGUAAAUUAAUGCAGCCUGUAUCUUCCCUAUCAAAUGACAGGCUCUAUGAUAACAGAUCAUGUCUAAUCCCCUCUCUUCCCCCAACAUGACCUUCCAUAAAGUAAAUACUCAGCUAUUUCUUGAUUAAUUGAUGAACUGAAAGUCUAUUCUCUGGGUAUCUCUCCUUUACGAGAAUAUAGCACCCACACAUGACCACAUCUAGCCUUUUAUGACUAGUGACAUUUAUAUAACUAGUACCACCGUCCCUGUGGCAGUGUCAUGAAGCAAAAGACAAAGGUAAUAAAAGGUAAACAAGCAGGGAAUUAUUUCUCGCUUGUUUCUUCUUUUAUGGAGUUUGGGAGCAUUGAAUCAUGAUCUUUAUAUUGAAAUAUUUCACCAAAGUCCAGGGGACUCCUUUGGGUAAUGAGGUUGAGCUGGCACCAGAUCAGCUUCCAGGUUUGAUGCUUAGCAUUUUGCUGGUAAGAUGGCUAAAGGAUUUUAAUUUAGCCUGUAUUCUGUAGUGGCUUAAAAGAACAAAGGGUGGUGCGUUUUCCCCUUAGACACUCAAAACCUACAGCCGUUUCUUGUGAAGGCUAAGCCAGGGCCACACAUAUCCAAUGAGAUUGACUAGAAAUUUCUCCUGCCUUUGGGAAAAGAUGACUGUCAGUGUCAGAAAAGCCAGGCUCUGCUGCCUAAUCUGCAGUGACCUGUUAGAGGUCUAAUAAGUCAUUUACCCCUGUGGGCUCCACCUAUAGAAACAAUACUAGGUACUAGUUGAGGGGGCUGCUAGAAAAUAAUGAAGUCCUUUGAGGAGAGAUCUUCUAAAAUCACACAUUAGUGAUACUGAAUUAUUGAGAGUGACAAACUUUUUUAUCUUCAUCCAUGAUAAACUUUUUUAUCUUCACCCAUGAUAAACUUUUUUAUCUUCACUUUGUUAGCAAAUCCAAAGAAAUGUGGAAUUUUUAGUUUAGCAGAUUCAAAAAGUAGAAAACAGUUUGCCUUCCAUAUGACAUAUUUAUAUGCACUAUUUAAGCUUUGAGGUAGCUCAUUUAAAUUUCUUCUUUGAGAUUUCCAAAUACAUUAUAUCCAUCUCACAAUCCCCCCACGUACUCCAAAUUUUGCAUGGUUUACCAUUGCCCAUUCUGACCUCAUUCUUCUUUGUAGUACAUGCCUGCAACGUCAGCUAUGCAAGGAGCCUACUUGCCACAGUAUGCACAUAUGCAGACGACAGCGGUUCCUGUUGAGGAGGCAAGUGGUCAACAGCAGGUGGCUGUCGAGACGUCUAAUGACCAUUCUCCAUAUACCUUUCAACCUAAUAAGUAACUGUGAGAUGUACAGAAAGGUGUUCCUACAUGAAGAAGGGUGUGAAGGCUGAACAAUCAUGGAUUUUUCUGAUCAAUUGUGCUUUAGGAAAUUAUUGACAGUUUUGCACAGGUUCUUGAAAACGUUAUUUAUAAUGAAAUCAACUAAAACUAUUUUUGCUAUAAGUUCUAUAAGGUGCAUAAAACCCUUAAAUUCAUCUAGUAGCUGUUCCCCCGAACAGGUUUAUUUUAGUAAAAAAAAAAAAACAAAAAACAAAAACAAAAGAUUUUUAUCAAAUGUUAUGAUGCAAAAAAAAAAAAAGAAAAAAAGAAAAAGAAAAAAAAGAAA